GCUGGGCGUGGUGGCGCGUGCCUGUAAUCCCAGCUACUCAGGAAGCUGAGGUAGGAGAAUUGCUUGAACCCGGGAGGCGGAGGUUGAGGUGAGCUGAGAUCGAGUCAUUGCACUCCAGCCUGGGCAACAAGAGUGAAACUCCGUCUCAAAAAAAAAAAAAAAAGACAGAAUGUCUCACUCUGUCACUCAGGCUGGAGUGCAGUGGCAUGAUCUUGGCUCACUGCAACCUCCGCCUCCUGGGUUCAAGCGAUUCUCCUGCCUCAG
rnacentral:SRP_RNA from 1 species